rnacentral:rRNA from 1 species
CAGGGAUUGCCCUAGUAACGGCGAGUGAAGCGGCAACAGCUCAAUUUGAAAUCUGGCGUCUUCGGCGUCCGAGUUGUAAUUUGCAGAGGGCGCUUUGGCAUUGGCAGCGGUCCAAGUUCCUUGGAACAGGACGUCACAGAGGGUGAGAAUCCCGUACGUGGUCGCUAGCCUUUACCGUGUAAAGCCCCUUCGACGAGUCGAGUUGUUUGGGAAUGCAGCUCUAAAUGGGAGGUAAAUUUCUUCUAAAGCUAAAUACUGGCCAGAGACCGAUAGCGCACAAGUAGAGUGAUCGAAAGAUGAAAAGCACUUUGGAAAGAGAGUUAAAAAGCACGUGAAAUUGUUGAAAGGGAAGCGCUUGCAGCCAGACUUGCCUGUAGUUGCUCAUCCGGGUUUUUACCCGGUGCACUCUUCUAUAGGCAGGCCAGCAUCAGUUUGGGCGGUUGGAUAAAGGUCUCUGUCAUGUACCUCUCUUCGGGGAGAACUUAUAGGGGAGACGACAUGCAACCAGCCUGGACUGAGGUCCGCGCAUCUGCUAGGAUGCUGGCGUAAUGGCUGUAAGCGGCCCGUCUUGAAACACGGACCAAGGAGUCUAACAUCUAUGCGAGUGUUUGGGUGUCAAGCCCGAGCGCGUAAUGAAAGUGAACGGAGGUGGGAACCUUUCGGGGUGCACCAUCGACCGAUCCUGAUGUCUUCGGAUGGAUUUGAGUAAGAGCAUAGCUGUUGGGACCCGAAAGAUGGUGAACUAUGCUUGAAUAGGGUGAAGCCAGAGGAAACUCUGGUGGAGGCUCGCAGCGGUUCUGACGUGCAAAUCGAUCGUCAAAUUUGGGCAUAGGGGCGAAAGACUAAUCGAACUAUCU